AAGAACUACAAGGAUUCCCCUAGUAACUGCGAGUGAAGCGGGAAAAGCUCAAAUUUAAAAUCUGGCAGUUUAAUGGCUGUCCGAGUUGUAAUCUAGAGAAGUGUUAUCCGCGCUGGACCGUGUACAAGUCUCCUGGAAUGGAGCAUCAUAGAGGGUGAGAAUCCCGUCUUUGACAUGGACUCCCAGGGCUUUGUGAUGCGCUCUCAAAGAGUCGAGUUGUUUGGGAAUGCAGCUCAAAAUGGGUGGUAAAUUCCAUCUAAAGCUAAAUAUUGGCGAGAGACCGAUAGCGAACAAGUACCGUGAGGGAAAGAUGAAAAGAACUUUGGAAAGAGAGUUAAACAGUACGUGAAAUUGCUGAAAGGGAAACGCUUGAAGUCAGUCGCGUCGUCCAGGGAUCAACCUUGCUUUUGCUUGGUGCACUUUCUGGUUUGACGGGUCAGCAUCAAUUUUGACUGUUGGAAAAAGGCAAAGGG
rnacentral:rRNA from 1 species